rnacentral:rRNA from 1 species
CAAUUCGCCCUUACGGGGUGCAGCAGGCGCGAAAACUUUGCAAUGUGCGAAAGCACGACAAGGUUAAUCCGAGUGAUUUCUGCUAAAGAAAUCUUUUGCUAGUCCUAGAAACACUAGUGAAUAAGGGGUGGGCAAGUUCUGGUGUCAGCCGCCGCGGUAAAACCAGCACCUCAAGUGGUCAGGAUGAUUAUUGGGCCUAAAGCAUCCGUAGCUCGUUUUGUAAGUUUUCGGUUAAAUCCAUACGCUUAACGUAUGGGCUGCCGGGAAUACUGCAUAACUAGGAAGUGGGAGAGGUAGACGGUACUCGGUAGGAAGGGGUAAAAUCCUUUGAUCUAUUGAUGACCACCUGUGGCGAAGGCGGUCUACCAGAACACGUUCGACGGUGAGGGAUGAAAGCUGGGGGAGCAAACCGGAUUAGAUACCCGGGUAGUCCCAGCUGUAAACUAUGCAAACUCAGUGAUGCAUUGGCUUGUGGCCAAUGCAGUGCUGCAGGGAAGCCGUUAAGUUUGCCGCCUGGGAAGUACGUACGCAAGUAUGAAACUUAAAGGAAUUGGCGGGGGAGCAC